AACUAACAUUUACCCCUAUUGUUCAGAAUCCACGAGACCAACCUCAAGAAGCAGGGCCUGUUGCCGCUGACGUUCGCCAACGCGUCCGACUACGACAAGAUCCAGCCCACGGACAAGAUCUCGCUGCUCGGCCUCAAGGACCUCGCUCCGGGAAAACAAGUGGACUGUGAGAUCAAGCACAAAGAUGGCAAAACUGAACGUAUCAAGCUCAACCACUCACUGAACGAACAACAAAUCUCUUGGUUCAAAGCAGGCUCCGCCCUCAACAGAAUGAAGGAAAUCGCUUCCGGAAAGUGAACAUCACUAUGGCUAAAUAGAGUAGGCGAAAUGAGUUCUUAAUUAUUGUACCAUAGACAAUUUUUUUUUUUCGUUUUUGUUACCAUGUAUUUUUAAUAUGUAAUCACGUCUUUUAUAAAAUGAACCAGUAUUGUUUAUGAGCCAUUUUAUGUUUAGUGAUUUACGACUGGCAACACUUAGCUAUGCCAGUGAGUCAGUUUUUUUAGUUCAAACUUAUUUAUAUAGUGCAUUUUUGAUAAUAAUUGUAACGUGUAAC
rnacentral:lncRNA from 1 species